rnacentral:rRNA from 1 species
GACGAACGCUGGCGGCGUGCUUAACACAUGCAAGUCGAACGGAAAGGCCCUGCUUUUGUGGGGUGCUCGAGUGGCGAACGGGUGAGUAACACGUGAGUAACCUGCCCUUGACUUUGGGAUAACUUCAGGAAACUGGGGCUAAUACCGGAUAGGAGCUCCUGCUGCAUGGUGGGGGUUGGAAAGUUUCGGCGGUUGGGGAUGGACUCGCGGCUUAUCAGCUUGUUGGUGGGGUAGUGGCUUACCAAGGCUUUGACGGGUAGCCGGCCUGAGAGGGUGACCGGCCACAUUGGGACUGAGAUACGGCUCAGACUCCUACGGGAGGCAGAAGUGGGGAAUAUUGCACAAUGGGCGGAAGCCUGAUGCAGCAACGCCGCGUGCGGGAUGACGGCCUUCGGGUUGUAAACCGCUUUCGCCUGUGACGAAGCGUGAGUGACGGUAAUGGGUAAAGAAGCACCGGCUAACUACGUG